CUACGGGGGGCAGCAGUGGGGAAUCUUAGACAAUGGGCGCAAGCCUGAUCUAGCCAUGGCGCGUGAGUGACGAAGGACUUAGGGUCGUAAAGCUCUUUCGCUGGGGAAGAUAAUGACGGUACCCAGUAAAGAAACCCCGGCUAACUCCGUGCCAGCAGCCGCGGUAAUACGGAGGGGGUUAGCGUUGUUCGGAAUUACUGGGCGUAAAGCGCGCGUAGGCGGAUCAGAAAGUUGGGGGUGAAAUCCCGGGGCUCAACCCCGGAACUGCCUUCAAAACUCCUGGUCUUGAGUUCGAGAGAGGUGAGUGGAAUUCCGAGUGUAGAGGUGAAAUUCGUAGAUAUUCGGAGGAACACCAGUGGCGAAGGCGGCUCACUGGCUCGAUACUGACGCUGAGGUGCGAAAGCGUGGGGAGCAAACAGGAUUAGAUACCCCCGUAGUC
rnacentral:rRNA from 1 species